rnacentral:rRNA from 1 species
GACGGAAGGUGCAAGCGUUGCUCGGAAUCACUGGGCGUAAAGGGUGCGUAGGCGGCUUCUUAAGUCUGAUGUGAAAGCCCCGGGCUCAACCCGGGAAGUGCAUUGGAUACUGGGAGACUUGAAUACGGGAGAGGGUAGUGGAAUUCCUAGUGUAGGAGUGAAAUCCGUAGAUAUUAGGAGGAACACCGGUGGCGAAGGCGGCUACCUGGACCGAUAUUGACGCUGAGACGCGAAAGCGUGGGGAGCAAACAGG